GUACUCACUUCAGGGGCACAGACUAAACCUGGAACAAUAUAGAGAAGAUCAGCAUAGUCCCUGUAUGAGAGUGACAUGCAAACUAGUGACACCUUCUGCAUUUUU
ensembl:snRNA U6 U6 spliceosomal RNA